AUGUCUUCUGCAGGUAUCGCCAACGACGAGGUGCUGUCCCACAUGCACACCUCGGUCACACACGAUAUGAACUCUUGCCUAACUCGUGAAUUCACAGAACAGGAAGUAAAGGAGGCCCUAAAUUCCAUUGGUGAUUUGAAAGCACCAGGUCCGGAUGGCAUGCCGGCCAUAUUCUAUAAGCGGUUUUGGGAGCUGGUCGGGCCAAAAGUGAAGGAGGAAGUGCUGGGUGUGCUGAAUGGUGCUCCGAUGCCGAAUGGAUGGAACGAAACUACUAUUGUGCUCAUACCCAAGGUCAAAAACCCAGAGAAGGUCACUGAGUUUAGGCCUAUAAGCCUUUGUAAUGUUUUAUACAAGUUGAUCUCAAAGGUACUUGCAAAUCGGCUCAAGGAAAUCCUGCCUGAAAUCAUCUCGCCAACACAGUCAACAUUUGUCCCCGGUAGGAUGAUCACCAAUAACAUGCUCCUGGCAUAUGAAAUCACUCACCUGAUGCAUAAACGGAAGGGAGGGCGCAAGGGACUGGUGGCGGUGAAGCUUGAUAUGAGCAAAUCGUACGACCGCGUUGAGUGGGGCUUUCUAGAACGGGUCAUGAUCAAAAUGGGUUUCGCUGAACAGUGGGUGCACCUGAUUAUGAAGUGUGUUAGAUCAGUUUCAUACAGGGUAAAGAUUAAUAGGAGUUUGUCAGAAGUGAUCACCCCAGGUAGAGGACUCCGGCAAGGGGAUCCGUUAUCACCGUACCUCUUUAUAAUGUGUGCGGAGGCUUUCUCUGCUAUGUUGUACCAAGCGGAGCAGGAGGGCUCUAUCCAGGGGGUUCAGAUAUGUCGUGGAGCUCCAAAGAUA
rnacentral:rRNA from 1 species